GAUGAACGCUGGCGGCGUGCCUAAUACAUGCAAGUCGAGCGAACAGAUGAGAAGCUUGCUUCUCUGAUGUUAGCGGCGGACGGGUGAGUAACACGUGGGUAACCUACCUAUAAGACUGGGAUAACUCCGGGAAACCGGGGCUAAUACCGGAUAAUAUUUUGAACCGCAUGGUUCAAUAGUGAAAGACGGUUUCGGCUGGCACUUAUAGAUGGACCCGCGCCGUAUUAGCUAGUUGGUAAGGUAACGGCUUACGAAGGCGACGAUACGUAGCCGACCUGAGAGGGUGAUCGGCCACACUGGAACUGAGACACGGUCCAGACUCCUACGGGAGGCAGCAGUAGGGAAUCUUCCGCAAUGGGCGAAAGCCUGACGGAGCAACGCCGCGUGAGUGAUGAAGGUCUUCGGAUCGUAAAACUCUGUUGUUAGGGAAGAACAAAUUUAUUAGUAACUGAACAAGUCUUGACGGUACCUAACCAGAAAGCCACGGCUAACUACGUGCCAGCCGCCGCGGUAA
rnacentral:rRNA from 1 species